rnacentral:rRNA from 1 species
GAUGAACGCUGGCGGCGUGCCUAAUACAUGCAAGUCGAGCGAACAGAUGAGGAGCUUGCUCCUCUGACGUUAGCGGCGGACGGGUGAGUAACACGUGGAUAACCUACCUAUAAGACUGGUAUAACUUCGGGAAACCGGAGCUAAUACCGGAUAAUAUAUUGAACCGCAUGGUUCAAUAGUGAAAGACGGUUUUGCUGUCACUUAUAGAUGGAUCCGCGCCGCAUUAGCUAGUUGGUAAGGUAACGGCUUACCAAGGCAACGAUGCGUAGCCGACCUGAGAGGGUGAUCGGCCACACUGGAACUGAGCCACGGUCCAGACUACUACGGGAGGCAGCAGUCGGGAAUCUUCCGCAAUGGGCGAAAGCAUGACGGAGCAACGCCGCGUGAGUGAUGAAGGUCUUCGGAUCGUAAAACUCUGUUAUUAGGGAAGAACAAAUGUGUAAGUAACUAUGCACGUCUUGACGGUACCUAAUCAGAAAGCCACGGCUAACUACGUG